rnacentral:rRNA from 1 species
GUAAGGAAUAUUGGACAAUGGAGGCAACUCUGAUCCAGCCAUGCCGCGUGAAGGAAUAAGGCCCUAUGGGUUGUAAACUUCUUUUAGACGGGACAAAACCCCUUUACGUGUAAAGGGUUGAUGGUACUGUCAGAAUAAGCAUCGGCUAACUUCGUGCCAGCAGCCGCGGUAAUACGAAGGAUGCAAGCGUUAUCCGGAAUUAUUGGGUUUAAAGGGUGCGUAGGCGGACUAAUAAGUCAGUGGUGAAAGCCUGCAGCUUAACUGCAGAAUUGCCAUUGAUACUGUUAGUCUUGAGUACAGUUGAGGUAGGCGGAAUGUGUCAUGUAGCGGUGAAAUGCUUAGAUAUGACACAGAACACCGAUUGCGAAGGCAGCUUGCUAGGCUGUAACUGACGCUGAGGCACGAAAGCGUGGGGAGCAAACA